GAUGAACGCUGGCGGCGUGCCUAAUACAUGCAAGUCGAGCGAACGGACGAGAAGCUUGCUUCUCUGAUGUUAGCGGCGGACGGGUGAGUAACACGUGGAUAACCUACCUAUAAGACUGGGAUAACUUCGGGAAACCGGAGCUAAUACCGGAUAAUAUUUUGAACCGCAUGGUUCAAAAGUGAAAGACGGUCUUGCUGUCACUUAUAGAUGGAUCCGCGCUGCAUUAGCUAGUUGGUAAGGUAACGGCUUACCAAGGCAACGAUGCAUAGCCGACCUGAGAGGGUGAUCGGCCACACUGGAACUGAGACACGGUCCAGACUCCUACGGGAGGCAGCAGUAGGGAAUCUUCCGCAAUGGGCGAAAGCCUGACGGAGCAACGCCGCGUGAGUGAUGAAGGUCUUCGGAUCGUAAAACUCUGUUAUUAGGGAAGAACAUAUGUGUAAGUAACUGUGCACAUCUUGACGGUACCUAAUCAGAAAGCCACGGCUAAUUACGUG
rnacentral:rRNA from 1 species